rnacentral:lncRNA from 1 species
CAAGAAUGAAGGGGGUGGGUAGGCAAAUGUUGCCUAAUAUUAGGACAAAAGAAAGAAUAUCACUCCCGGGGUGGGGGCUGGGGCUCAGUGGUAGAGGGCUUGCCUAGCAUGGGUGAAGCAUUGGCUUUAAUUCGCAGCACUGCAUAUAAAUAAAUGAAUAAAAUAAAGGCCCAUCAACAUCUAAAAAUUUAAAAAAAAAUUUUUUAGUUGUCAAUGGACCUUUAUUUGAUGCUGAGAAUCAAACCCAGGGCCUCACACAUGCUAGGCAAUCGCUCUACCACUGAGCCACAACCUCAGUUCCUAAAAAUUUUUUUUAAAAAGAAAGAUUCUACACAUAAAAACAAUAUGAACUACUUUAGGUCAAUAGAUUUAACAAAUUCCUUGAAAGAAACAACUUAUCAAAACUAACAAAGAAACAGAAAAUCUAAAUAAUCUCUACACCAAUUGAAGAAAUUGAACUUGGAAUUAAGAAAAAAUUCUAACAAAGAUUACUCCAGUUCAAGUGGCUUUAAGGAAAAAAUAACACCAACUUCUACAAACUCCUUCACAGUGUGAGGGAAGAAAGAUCACUUCCCAAUAUACUUUAUGAGGUCAACAUAAGCCUAACACCAAAUCAGGUAAAGAUGUUGUUUUUAAAAACCACAAAGCAAUAUCCUUUAUAACCAUAGUUGCAGAAAUCCCUAACAAAAUAUUAGCAAAUCAAAUUAGUUACAUAUAAAAAGGACAGAAAUAUCAUGAGCAAAUGGAGUUUACCCUAGAAAUUUAAGAUUCGUUUAAUAGUCAAAAAUCAAUUAUUGUAAUUUACUAUCAAGAAAAUCAAAAUAAUCUCAAAUGAAUCCAGAAAAAAAACAUUAAAUCGGGCAGAUUGCAAAUUCAAGGCCAGCCUGGGUGACUUAGCAAGAACUAAUCAAUUUAGAGAAACCCUGUCUCAAAAAAAAAAAAAAAUGUCUAGGAUGUAGCUCAGUAGUAAAUUGUCUCUGGGUUAAAGUCCCAGUUCCUCCAAAUAAAUAAAUAAAUAAAAAUUAAAAAUAAAUAAAAGGGGCUAGGGGUGUAGCUUAGUGACUACUAAGUACCGAAUCCCAGUAUAAAAAUAAAUAAAUAAAUAACACCCACUCAUUAUUUAGAAAGCAAAACAAAACAUACACACACACACACAAACACACACACUCAGCCCUAACAAGCUAGGAAUAGAAAAUAACUUCUAAUAAAAGACAUUCAUGAAACAUUUAUAGCUAACAUCAUAUUUAAUUAAUAGAGAAACACUGAACAGGUUUUCACUAAGAUUCCCUAAGGCAAAUAUUUUUCUUAUCCCUUCUAUUCAGCAUUAUUUUGGAAAGUGCGGCCAGUUCCAUAGUUGAGAAAAAGAAAUAAAAGAUAUAAAUGCAGGGUGGGGGUGGGGGGGAGCAGUGUGAAAUUGUCAUUUUUCCACAUCACAUGAUUGGGUAGAUAGUAAAUAUGUGGAUUCUACUCCCUCCAUCUGUACCCUCCCCCCCCCAAAAAAAAAAACCCUACUAAAAUUAAAAGUGAAUUCAUCAGGGUUACAGAUACAAAAUUAACAUACAAACCCCCAACUUUUUGUAUUCAUACCACAAUCAACUGGAAGGUGAAAUUAAAAUACUGUUUAUAAUAGUAAAUACAGAGUCAGUGGGUUUUUAACUGUCUUCUAACAAGGGGCCAAGUUAAAUCAGUGGGGGAAAGAAAACACUUCAUAAACCAUGCUGGAGACAUCGAGUAUUCACUUGAAAAAAAAAGUAAAUCUUGGAGCUGGAGGUGCGGAUCGGUGGUAAGAUGCUUGCCUAACAUGCAC